GAAGAUUAGACUUUGCCAACAUCUUCUUCCAGACUGCGUCUCUUGGAUCUAAAUCACUGGGAAAGGAUGUGGGCUCUUAAACUGUACAACUGUGAGCUCUGUGGGAGUGAUUUUGUGAGCUGCACGGCUCUGAGGUAUCACUUUCAACAGAAGCAUCUUGGAAAAGUUCACUGCGAAAAAUGUGGCCAAGAAGUCCUGGGGGAUAAGCUCCAAGAUCACAGCAAGUCUAUAUCUCACAGGUCAACCAUGGAGACACACAGGCUAAACUGGGUAAAUCUAGAAGAAAGGAAUAUAAUGCAUAAGGCUACAAAAAUAUCAAAAUCCUGUAGAAUGUGUUGUAGGCACUUUGGAACAAUCCUUAGUCGGGAGAACCAUGAAAGACAAGAGCAUCACUUCACAGCCAGUAAAAGAGGUAAAGGAGAUCCUGGGUGCUUUCCCUCUGUGGGUAUUCACACAACAUAGGAACCAUACUGUGGUUUCCCUUCUCCAGGUUGUGGAAACAGAUUGUUUCCAAAAAGAGAAAAGAGAGGAUAGAACUAGGAUGUGGCCUGAAACUAAAUACUCUUGGAAUGGCAGGAGGAGAGGGUAAUUCUGCAGAGCCUCUUUUGAGGAGGAAACUGGGACACCGAGACAUUGUGCAAAGAGACCGCAGAGAAGCACAACUCUGGGGACUUCCAGUCAGAGUUUCAGGAUUCAGGUGGGAGUCAGAUGAUGGUCUGCCCAUCAAAAAAUAACCACAAAACUAAGAUAUUAUACCAUUUCCUCUCAUUUUUGUGAUUAUGUCCUCUAAACUAAUGGGUGGUUGCUGCUCUAUGAAAGUCUUUUAAUAAAUUUAAAUUUUUUCCAAGAAACUGUAAUUGA
ensembl:lncRNA